GGAUUGAACGCUGGCGGCAUGCUUUACACAUGCAAGUCGAACGGUAACAGGCCGCAAGGUGCUGACGAGUGGCGAACGGGUGAGUAAUGCAUCGGAACGUGCCCAGUCGUGGGGGAUAACGCAGCGAAAGCUGUGCUAGACUACCGCAUACGAUCUAGUGGAUAGAAAGGCCGGGGGAACGAAAGGCCUCGCGCGUAGUUGGGAGCCGGCCGAGUGUCGAGUAUUAGCUUAGGUUGGGUAGGGGUAAACGCCCCGAACGAAGGCCGACGAUC
rnacentral:rRNA from 1 species